rnacentral:rRNA from 1 species
UACGUAGGGUGCAAGCGUUGUCCGGAAUUAUUGGGCGUAAAGCGCUCGUAGGCGGGACUGGAAGUCCGUGUUGAAAGACCUCGGCUCAACUGAGGGACCGGCUCGGAUACUCUAGUUCUUGAGGCAAUCAGAGGGUGAUGGAAUUCCCGGUGUAGCGGUGAAACGCGUAGAUAUCGAGAGGAACACCUGUGGCGAAGGCGGCCAACUGGACGAGUACUGACGCUGAGACACGAAAGCGUGGGGAGCAAACAGG